AGGCUCUCUUCGGAGAGUACACGACCGGCGAACGGGUGCGUAACGCGUAUGCAACCUGCCUGUAUCUGGAACAUAGCCCCGAGAAAUCGGGAUUAAUUUCCAUAAUAUCCUUUAGUGACAUCACUUUUGGAUUNAAGCUCCGGCGGAUACAGAUGGGCAUGCGUGACAUUAGCUUGUUGGUGCGGUAACGGCGCACCAAGGCCAAGAUGUCUAGGGGGUCUGAGAGGAUGAUCCCCCACACUGGUACUGAGACACGGACCAGACUCCUACGGGAGGCAGCAGUGAGGAAUAUUGCGCAAUGGAGGAAACUCUGACGCAGCCACGCCGCGUGAAGGAUGACGGCCCUAUGGGUUGUAAACUUCUUUUCUGCUUCAAGAAACAGUCGUACGUGUACGGCUUUGACGGUAGAGCAGGAAUAAGCAUCGGCUAACUCCGUGCCAGCAGCCGCGGUAAUACGGAGGAUGCAAGCGUUACCCGGAUUCAUUGGGUAUAAAGCGUGCGCAGGCGGGUGGGUAAUCAGAGGUGAAAGCCCGCAGCUUAACUGUGGAAUUGCCUUUGAUACUGCU
rnacentral:rRNA from 1 species